rnacentral:lncRNA from 1 species
CUAUCCAUCAAGCAACUUGCCUUUGAGGAUCUACUGCAUUUGGUGAGAGGAAAUCUCCAGGCUUCUGGUGGACAGCUACUGGAGAGCAGACCUCUACUUUGCUGAGACCAUCUGAGAAUACCAUACCUGGGAUCCCUGAAAUCUGAUCAACCAUUGACUCUGUUCUUCAUCUAAAAGAUGGGUAAAAUAACAUUUGUGCUGCUGGUCUCUCUCACUGGAUUUCUAUAAGGGUGUAAAGAAAAGCACCACCACACAUCCAAUUUAGAAGGUGUCCAUACAUAUAAGUGCAAGGCUGCGUAUUUGAAUGAUCCAGGUACAAAGACUACCAUGACAAGGCUAAAUGACUGCCUAAAAACAGAAAUCUGAAAAUGAAGGUGAACCCGAAAUAUGACCUGGAAACAAAAGCCUGCUUAACAGUUACUAUUAAGCAAUACAUUAGUGGAUCAAUUAAACAGAACUUCUUUCUAAUGAAUGGGGCUGUGCAAGAGUUGCCAUGGAAACCUGGAAAAAGAAAGCCUUAGAAUGCUAAUAGCAGAAGAAACACAACAAAAUGUUUGUAAACACACACCUUGAAAUUUGUAUGAUCAGUUAAGCAAUAAAAGGGUGAUGCAAUAUGUUUGCA